rnacentral:lncRNA from 1 species
UGCCAAACACCUGCAGCCAGUGGUAAAGGCUUAAAACCGCCCCAACUUCCUUAUUGCCUUAAAAAUAAAAAGUAAUGAGAAAUGGAUUUCUAUGCUGAGUAAGCAGAACAAAAGCCACCUAGAACUUAGCUUUUAUAUAACGCCCAGAAUUUAAAAAACUCAAAAACCCCAUACUGACCAUCUUGUCCAAAUCGUCAUAUCUGGAGAAUCAAAACAGUUUCGGUAUAAAUCAUUAUGCUCUUGGCUGCCUAAAUUAGGUACAACUUAAUAUAAAGUUCAGUAAUCUUCCCAGUUGUAAAUUCUUCCUGUCCCCUGUAUUCCCCACAAAAACAUGCGUUAGAAAAGCGCUGGGAUUCCUUCUGGUCCCCUGCAAGCUGUUUCUGGUGCAACCACAGUUCGCGAGUAGAAAACCCCGGGCCCGGAGCAGUUCAACUGCCGCCCUGGCCACACCCUGGGCCACGGCUCCUUCCCGGCCUGGACCGAAGAUAAACAAAUCGCGCCUGUUCUCCAGACCUCACAUUAGCGCUGACUCACAGGGUGCCCAGAGCGGGCCUCAGUCGCCUCGCGAAGAAGGAAAAAUGUGCAGAUUUUUCCUCUCACGCGAGGGUCCGCCGUGUCUAGCUGGCCAAUCAUCGGAGGGCUGCGGGAAUCGCACCAAAGUAGGUAAAAAAUGCGGGGUGCCGCCCCAUCCGAGGCUACCGCCAACCUCCCGACCCUGUCCUCCCACCCGCGCGCCCCGCCCAGCCUGCACCCCAGCCCCACCCCCAAAGGCGUGCACACCUGGCCAGGUGGCCGUUUCUAUAUAUGGGCAAUGGCGGUGCAGUGGGCGGGGCGGAGUGUGGCCGAGCCCCCUACGGGGUAAGAGCCGGGCCUCUCCACUUUAGACGUCCUUUGCCCGCCCCUGGCCAGCAGGUGCCAGCCCAAGCUCCGCCUCUCAUCACCUGCAGUUGAGGAAGUAGAACCUGCCCGCGCCCCUCAAGACUGGAGCUGGCGAAGGGGUCCCGCCCCUCAGCCCCGGGCAGGUGAGCGACGCCCCCGCAGUCCGGACUCCAGGCUGCCCCCGGGGCGGGGCAUUGCCGGGCCGGCCCGUCGUGUAGCAACGCGGGCAGUGCGUGACGUGCGCAGGCGCAUUUUGACCCGAGGCGCGCGACCGCCCCUUAGUAGGCUCACGGUGCCGCGUCGGCUCUGCGCUCGCUUUCUCGUCCUGCUGGUGUGAGGAGGUUGUUCCGCACACUCGGUUCCCGCCGGCUCCCUCCCCUGAAUCCCUGCAACCGCCGCUGCGAAGAUGGCGCCCGGAGUGCAAGUUGCUGAUGAAGUAUGUCGCAUUUUUUAUGACAUGAAAGUUCUGGAAAUGCUCCACACCUGAGGAAAUUAAAAAAGAAAGAAGGCUGUCAUUUUUUGUCUCAGUGCAGACAAAAAGUGCAUCAUUGUUGAAGAAGGCAAAGAGAUCCUAGUUGGAGAUGUGGGUGUGACCAUCACUGAUCCCUUCAAGCAUUUUGUGGGGAUGCUUCCUGAAAAGGAUUGUCGCUAUGCCUUGUAUGAUGCAAGCUUCGAGACCAAGGAGUCCAGGAAAGAAGAGCUGAUGUUCUUUUUGUGGGCCCCAGAACUGGCCCCUCUGAAGAGUAAGAUGAUCACGCCAGCUCUAAGGAUGCGAUCAAAAGAAGUUCCAAGGCAUCAAACACGAAUGUCAAGCAAAUGGGCGGAAGACCUCAAGCGAGCUUGUAUUGCCGAAAAGCUGGGUGGGUCCUUGAUUGUAGCCUUGAAGGGUGCCCGUGUAGUGUCGUUCCAGUGCCACAGCGAAAGCUUCUGUGUUUAAUGUUACCCUCUUGCUCCAUAAGUAAAGCAGAUGCAUUUAUGCCAGGGUCUCACUGAGGGAGCUGUCUUGUCAUCUUUGAGUAAAUAUUCUAUAAACCUGUGCAAACGGCGCGGCCCUAAAUAAACCUAGCAUCAAAGUGUAAUUGGUGUGAAAUGAAAUUCUUACUGGCCAAAUGCCUGUUUUGAUGAGUUGACUUACAAAGAUUUUUGUUAAAGCUCAGGAUUUUUAAUAAAGCUCAGGAUUUUUAAUAACAGUUCACAAAACAGUAUAGAUAUAGAGGCCAUAUGAAGAGAAUCAUUCUGUCUUUCAUUAACCUCAGCAGUUACUUUCUUUUGUUUGAAAAUUGAUUACAAUCUGGUUAUAAUUUUGGCCCAGAAUUAUUCUUCUUGACCCACACAGAAUGGGUUGUCCUCCCCUAACGUGUACCCACACUAACCCACUAGCAGCAGUGAGUCUCAGGCAGCCUUUAGUUCUCCCAGAAGUCGCAUCUACUGUGACUCACCCUGAUCUUGCAAAGCCUGCCUCGAGUGGCACAGCUGUCCCCGCACCUGGGGCUGCAGGCUCUCACCUUGUAUCUUGGGAAUUGUGGUGUGGCUUCAGAAGAUGGGGACUAAUUCUAAUGCAAAUUAGCGCUCAGGAACUGUACUCUGCUUUCUAAUGAAAAUGCUUCAACCGGCAGUAUCUAGGUAGGCUAGGACAUCUCACACCUGCGUCUCCUUCAGAGCUGCAGCACCCCGUAUGAUAUGAUGGCAAGAACACUUGAGUGUUUCUUCCAGGGCCUAGGAGAACUUUGUUUCCUAGAGCAGUGUGUCACUUGUGUGGAGUGGGGAGCUGGUACCUAGUGACUGCGCAGAUGUGAUUGUCCUUAACACCACAGGCAUGACAUUUGAACAAGAGAAAUGCACAGUCUUAGAAGUAGCAGUUACUGGCUUUAUGUAAUAAAGGAAGCAUUUUUAACUUCUCUGGUGUCAUCAUUCACAUGUGAGUUGGGGAUGGAGGGGUUUUACCUUCCACAAGGGGAUUCUGGGGGUUUCGCAUGGGUGACUCAGCUUCUACCUUCUCUGAUUGAAAGAGGAAGCUGGUAUAAAAGUUGGGAACCUUUUUCUUAGUAGUGUUUAAUGCAAGGCUAGGCUUUGGGAGGCAAAAAAGGUCAUGCUUUCAUCAAAAUAUCUUUCAAGACUUGCUAAGCGCAAGGACCCAAGUUCAAUCCCCGGUACAAAAAAAAAAAAAAGACUGGCUGGAAAAGUGCUGGCUGCUUGCCAUUCUCCCAUCUGGAACUGAACACUGCUCUGUGAUGUGUGUAAACAGGCCCCAGGGAAGCAUCUGGCCAGGCUGCCCUGCUCCCCUGCCCGCCGCCUCAGGCCGUGUCCCUCAGGAGGCGCUGUGGGCUGAGUGCAGGCGCUUGGCUGGGGGGCUUCUGUGCAGCAUUCAGGGAGGUAACACAAAGUCAGCAUCUCCCACACCCCUUUUCCUGCAAAAGUAGUGGGUGCCGGAGGUUACUUUCAGUUCUCUGCGUGGAUACUGGCAGGGGCUGGGGGCCCAGACACUGUUGCCAACCUCCUGGUGACCUGAGCAGCAUGAAGUUGUGGACCAAAAAGGUCCAGGUCCACCCCACUUCCAGGGCACUUCAACACCCUUACAGGCUGGCGCAUUAUGGAAACGAGCCUGUGGACAGGUUGUGGCUCUGCACGCCUGGAGGUGGGCGUGGACCAGGUACUGAGCUCAGGUCUCCUGCCUUGUGGGUUGGGGGCGGCCUAGGUGGGAGCCAGGCUCAGCCUGACCGGCAGAGUGGCCUUGAAGGACUGUUAAAGGAACUUGGCCAGUCAGGUCACUUAGUUUACAAGUGGCGGAACUGGACAAAGACAGGGUUCUGAGCAGUUCUCGCCACCUCUAGAUGGUUCAGGUUUGAGUCUAACAUCUGGAAUUUGGAGGUCAGCGCUCAGUACCAUGUGCGCCACUUCAGGGAUAGAACUGCUAGCCUGAGCAACAACAAGGAACUGGGGGAGUCAUCAGGCUACAGCCCUGUCCAACCCAAUAUUGCCCACAGCCUUACUGGCGUCCCUGUCCUCUCCCAGGCUGUGAGGGCCACUUGCCAAGCCAGUGUCCUGUCCUGUGCCUUUCAGUGAGUACC